rnacentral:rRNA from 1 species
ACGUAGGGUGCGAGCGUUAAUCGGAAUUACUGGGCAUAAAGCGUGCGCAGGCGGUUUUGUAAGCCAGAUGUGAAAUCCCCGGGCUUAACCUGGGAAUGGCAUUUGGGACUGCAAGGCUUGAGUGUGGCAGAGGAGACUGGAAUUCCCGGUGUAGCAGUGAAAUGCGUAGAUAUCGGGAGGAAUACCGAUGGCGAAGGCAGGUCUCUGGGCUGACACUGACGCUCAUGCACGAAAGCGUGGGGAGGCAAACAGGAUUAGAUACCCUGGUAGUCCACGCCCUAAACGAUGUCGACUGGUUGUUGGGGGUUUGACACUCUCAGUAACGAAGCUAACGCGUGAAGUCGACCGCCUGGGGAGUACGGCCGCAAGGUUA